UACGAAGGGGGCUAGCGUUGCUCGGAAUCACUGGGCGUAAAGCGCACGUUAGGCGGCUUGUUAAGUCAGGGGUGAAAUCCUGGAGCUCAACUCCAGAACUGCCUUUGAUACUGGCGAGCUUGAGUCCGGGAGAGGUGAGUGGAACUGCGAGUGUAGAGGUGAAAUUCGUAGAUAUUCGCAAGAACACCAGUGGCGAAGGCGGCUCACUGGCCCGGUACGUGACGCUGAGGUGCGAAAGCGUGGGGAGCAA
rnacentral:rRNA from 1 species